UUUGACGUUUUUCUUUGUUGAACUUUCCUAUUACUCCCGUUCAUUUGGUGCAAUGAAGAGCAAGACAAGUAGAGACCCAACUACAGGCUGGGGCCGUGGUUCUCCCCUUCACAUUCAGCAGAACCUCCUGGACAGUUUGUUUAGAUGUAGCUUCGGCUGUCCCUACCACAAAAGCUGGUGAUUUCGUAGGACCAAGCCGAGACUCAUGAAUCAGCAUUUCUAUCUAAAAAAAGGAUCCCAGGUGAUUCUAAUCCACGUGUUCUGAGGACAUGGCUUUGAGAAACAGUGACCUGAGAGAAGAGACCACCUGCACCUGCCUAUUUCAGAUGGAAACACUGGGAUAUGUUCAGUGGGACAAUCUAAGAAUCGUCUGAGACCAAGCUACAUGACAAAGCAGCACCAGUUCAAUCUCCUAAUUCACCCUGCUUACAGUAUUCCUCUUUGGAAUCUCAUCAUCAGCUGUUGCCAACCUAAGCAAAGGCAGUUUCUUGAUGUCUCUUCAUCUGUUUCAAGCAUUGUUCUCUGAGUAACAGUAACCAUGAGAAGAACAGCUAACAUUUAUUCCAUGCCUGUUGUGUGUGCCUUGUCACAUGCUGGGCACCUUAUGUGCCAUUAGCCUACUGGACCCUGCUAUCGCCCUGUGAGUGGAUGGUCUCUCUCUUCAGCUCUCACGUGAAGCAAAAACAGCAACAGCAACUUCUUCAGUUCAUUUAGCUGGUAAAUGCUGGACUCAGAACUGCAAGCCAGGCAGUAACUCAGAGGUUGAAUUGACUUGAUGUAUAAUGUCACCUCUAAUGCUUAGUGAACAAGAGAUAUGUGUGUGUAAAUGAGAUGUAAAUUAGUUUCAGAUCUUGAAAAGGAAUAUGUUCAAUAGUGAAAAUGUGAAGUUAAAAAAAAACAGGAAGAAAAAAUUAUCCAUCAUUUCCUAACUCCAAGACCACCAACUGUUAAUGUGUUAAUGUUUGGACAUAUUUCCUCCCAGUCUAUUUUUAUGUAUAAUUUUUAGCCCUGCAUAUUUAAAAAGGCUCUGAUUGUCUGUGGAUAUUUUAUUUUGCUUUUGUCACUUUGUAUGACAAUAUAAUGUAUGAUGAUGUUUUUCAUAAUAUUUCAAAUUCUCUAUAAUUUUUGCUGGCUAAAUAAUAGUCUUUUAAGUGGAGUAAUCAGGUUGACAAAAAUUUAUUGAGCAUCUAAUAUGUCCUAGAUCCUGUGCUCUAUAUAUAUGUACGCGGAUAUAUAAAAUUCUGAUUUUUUCCUUUGAGAACUAGCAGUCUAGUGUAGAGCAAAGAGGUAAGUCGUUAACUAUGUAGUUAUUGUAAUAGCUACCACUGGUGGGGCAUGGUGGCUCAUGCCUGUAAUCCCAGUACUU